rnacentral:misc_RNA from 1 species
GCUCCCCCUUGAGUUCUGGCGUAAUACGCAGUUGGGUAUUGUUGCCAUGGGUGCUUCCCCUUGAGUUCUGGCACAAUACACAGUUGUGUUCUUCCCCUUGUUGCCUUUAGGAUGCUUGAGUUCUGCCGUUCUUCCACUUGUUGCCUACAGAUUUAUUGUUUAACUGCUGAUUUCCGCAAUACACAUUUUUCCCAAUUUCUCU